rnacentral:lncRNA from 1 species
AUUGCAAAUAACACAUUACAAAUAAACUAUAUAAAUCCACAACAGACUAAUCCAAUCAACACCGCAUUGGAUAACAUUAAUCCACAACAAAUAAUUGACAUCCCACAAACAUCUUUGUAAUAAAAUACACCACACCAAGAAUUGAGCUCACUCAACUGGAAACAAAAUAUUGUUUAAAGGAACCAUCCCAACAACAAUACCAAGGUCUAAUUUCAUGCCUUAUCAACCUGAUUUUUAUACCUUAGAGGAAUGAUCAACACAAGAUUCACACAACAAUCUUAAUUCCUUCUACAGCCUAGACUAACCACCAGAUGCAC